rnacentral:pre_miRNA from 1 species
UUUUACAAAAAGGAUCAAUGAGUUUCAAUUGAGCUUCGAAUGUAUUCGCAUAGAAACUCGAUUGAAACUCAUUGAUAAUUUUUGUAA